rnacentral:rRNA from 1 species
UACGUAGGGUGCAAGCGUUGUCCGGAAUUAUUGGGCGUAAAGAGCUCGUAGGUGGCCUGUCGCGUCGACUGUGAAAACCCGCGGCUCAACCGCGGGCCUGCAUUCGAUACGGGCAGGCUAGAGUUCGGUAGGGGAGACUGGAAUUCCUGGUGUAGCGGUGAAAUGCGCAGAUAUCAGGAGGAACACCGAUGGCGAAGGCAGGUCUCUGGGCCGAUACUGACGCUGAGGAGCGAAAGCGUGGGGAGCGAACAGG